GAUGAACGCUGACAGAAUGCUUAACACAUGCAAGUCGACUCGAGUCUUCGGACUUGGGUGGCGCACGGGUGAGUAACGCGUAAAGAACUUGCCUCUUAGACCGGGACAACAUUUGGAAACGGAUGCUAAUACCGGAUAUUAUGGUUUCUUCGCAUGGGGGAAUCAUGAAAGCUACAUGCGCUAAGAGAGAGCUUUGCGUCCCAUUAGCUCGUUGGUGAGGUAACGGCCCACCAAGGCAAUGAUGGGUAGCCGGCCUGAGAGGGUGAACGGCCACAUUGGGACUGAGACACGGCCCAG
rnacentral:rRNA from 1 species